rnacentral:rRNA from 1 species
CCUACGGGCGGUAGCAGUAGGGAAUUUUCGUCAAUGGGCGCAAGUCUGACCGAGCAAUGCCGCGUGAGCGAGGAAGGUCUUCGGAUCGUAAAGCUCUGUUGUAGGGGAAAAAGAGCGGAGUGAGUAAAUGCUUUCUGAUUGGUCUUACUCUUCGAGGAAGUCACGGCCAACUACGUGCCAGCAGCCGCGGUAAUACGUAGGUGGCCAGCGUUAUCCGGAAUGAUUGGGCGUAAAGGGUGCGUAGGCGGCCUGAUAAGUCUGGAGUGAAAGGUAGCGGCUUAACCAGUAUAGGCUUUGGAAACUGGCGGACUAGAGUGCAAGAGGGGGGAGUGGAACUCCAUGUGUAGCGGUGAAAUGCGUAGAUAUAUGGAGGAACACCAGUGGCGAAAGCGGCCGGCUGGCUUGUAACUGACGCUGAGGCACGAAAGCGUGGGGAGCAAAUAGGAUUAGAUACCCGUGUAGUC